rnacentral:rRNA from 1 species
UACAGAGGUCUCGAGCGUUAUUCGGAAUCACUGGGCUUAAAGCGCGUGUAGGCGGAUGGGGACGUCGGUCGCUGAAAUCCCCCGGCUCAACCGGGGAACGGGCGCCGAAACGCCCCGUCUGGAGGGACGUAGGGGGACCUGGAACUUCCGGUGGAGCGGUGAAAUGCGUAGAUAUCUGGAGGAACACCGGUGGCGAAGGCGGCAUCCUGGACCAAUUCUGACACUGAGGAGCGAAAGCCAGGGGAGCAAACGGG